rnacentral:rRNA from 1 species
AUUGAACGCUGGCGGCAGGCUUAACACAUGCAAGUCGAGCGGGGUGAUGGUGCUUGCACUAUCACUUAGCGGCGGACGGGUGAGUAAUGCUUAGGAAUCUGCCUAUUAGUGGGGGACAACAUCUCGAAAGGGAUGCUAAUACCGCAUACGUCCUACGGGAGAAAGCAGGGGGUCACUUGUGACCUUGCGCUAAUAGAUGAGCCUAAGCCGGAUUAGCUAGUUGGUGGGGUAAAGGCCUACCAAGGCGACGAUCUGUAGCGGGGCUGAGAGGAUGAUCCGCCACACUGGGCCUGAGACACGGCCGCGAAUCCUACGGGAGGCAGCAGUGGGGAAUAUUGGACAAUGGGGGGAACCCUGAUCCAGCCAUGCCGCGUGUGUGAAGAAGGCCUUAUGGUUGUAAAGCACUUUAAGCGAGGAGGAGGCUCUUUUGGUUAAUACCCAAGAUGAGUGGACGUUACUCGCAGAAUAAGCACCGGCUAACUCUGUGCCAGCCGCCGCCGUAA